CAAGAUUCAAGAUCCAACCAUCUAGCUCUCCAUCUCCAUCUCCACUCACGGUGUGUACCCUCAAUCCCCGGAAUAGAACGAUCCCUACUUACUUAUACUACUAACGACAUUUCAGGGUUAAAUUGCGCGCUCGCUUUUAGCGACGUCAACUACAUCCUCAAUUCGUUCAUCUCAUCUCCAUCUCACAGUGGUUAAAUUAUGCGCUUGCUAAAAGCGCAUCAGUAGAGAGACAAAGAAGAUGGAAUGGAU